UCCCCCGUAUGAACUUCUUCAUGUGCCCAAAUUUCACUUGGAGGAAGAGGAGAACCUUGCAAAGAGAAAUUGCUCGAAUAACUAGUUUGAACUGCAGUAGGAGUUUGCCUGCAAUGGAUGAUUGUACUCGAGAAGAGGGUUGGUGAGCAUGCAUGGGAACAUUUAAGACUUUUCUUGUCAUUAGAUGACGGGGAUGUAGGCGGGUGGAACUGAGGACUUUGAAAUUACAUCAAGUAGAUACUUUUUGAAAAGCUGUACUAGGGUGCACGUAGUAUGUGUAAAAGUUGACCUUGCUACACAUAGAAGAGGCAAAAAAAGAUCAGUGCUUACAGACUUUGAAUAGUUUUGUCAUAAUACAAUCCACUGUGAUUUUUAUCAUCUAAGUUAGAUCUAAUUUAAUUUAUUUGCACAUCUGUCUGCCUGUGAAAGAGUCAGCUUUUGACAAUGAAUUUCUGAUGCAACUGUAUCUAUUUCAGCUUCAGUCCUACCAUCAAAGGCCAGGAGAAGCCUGCCUCUUCUGAGGGCUUUGUUUUAUCAGUCUGGGUGGCUGGCUUUGAUUUGGCUUUGUCAUCUUGCCAUGAAGCUCACAAGUGACUCUCAUUAAGAGUUCUGCUGAUGCUAAUUUAUAGAUCAGCAAGUUUGGAGGACUGUUUUUAAUGUAUUCACUUUAUUUUGAAGCUUUGCAUCUUUUCAACCUCUCAAGGGUCAGGUCUGUUUUGCAGACAGCUAGAACAAGAGUAUGGAAGUAAUCAUCUGUAAAAUGAGGGUCUCCCAUCCAGAUCCUCUCCUCAGCACACUGGCCUGAAGAAUCUAUCUGUCUUCACUCUUUGCUUUGUUUGGCUAUCCAGUGACUCUUUAGGUGUGGUCUAUCAAGUGGUGAAGGUUUCAGGCGCUGCAAAUCUUUCUGACCUCUGCUUGCCUUCAAAUGCAAUGACUGAUUUGUUAGGGUAGGAGGUGAAGUUCAAUAAAUGAAUGUAAAGCCCCCAAGCGGCUAGUGGUUUGGAAAUUCUUGGGCUCCUCGGGUGCAUUUCCGGGAUCUCCCAUUGCCACUAGAUGUCCCUGUGUGGCUUUUCUUUUGGACAUCGGUGCUGUGUGCCUGCAAGUUAUUUCUGCCCUGCUGCAUGGCAGGAGAGCGUUCUACAGUCUCCGAAGAGCCAGUUUACAGUUGAGUGUUAUCCAGGCUGGCACCCGACACACCUUACUCUCAUACUCUGAUUUCAAACAUAAGGGCAUGGCAAAGGGGAAAAUCACUCCGAGAUUGUGAAGAAAUCAGGACCCUCUCUACAGAGGUCCCUGGGUCCUUUCCAACUCUCAGUCAUUAAACUUCCCUGCCUGUCAGCCCACUCUCAGUACCCUGAACCAAAGCUUUUCAAACUAUCAUGAAGAACUAGCUCUUAAAAAUAUGUUUUUAUGCUUCUGAUCUCUCUCUCAUAGACCAAUACAUAGUCUCACUGGUGCCCAGCCAGCUUGCCCCUCACAUCACAUGUAACUCAACAGGCGAGUUUGGUAACAUCCAAACUGGGUAUUCCCUGUUUAAGGAAAUGAGUUCACUGAUUAUGUGCUUGGAUGUGCCAUUGUACUGCAGCGUAAGCUGACUAUAAGUGUUUUCUCGUGCGAACUCUCAGUUUCUGUAUUUCUGCUGUCAUUGACUGGCAACAGUUUGCAGAGCAGCAUUGGUCUGAGGACCACAUUUGGAGUGGCACUGGUCUAGUGUUACCCUAAGGCUUAGUUCUACAUCCUUGAAUUAAAACCAAUGGGCCAUUAGGAAAUGGGGAACUAAAGGCAGCUUUGGAAAACUUGAAUGGAGACUCAUGCCAUGUGUGGAGGGUGUGGUCUCUGUCUUUUCAGGGCACCUGCUCUAGGUCAGAUAUGGAUCUUCCACUGAGCUCCUGCACUGCAUCUCAAAUUAUGGAUACUUUUUUUAAAGUUUUUUUUAAUUUAUUUAUUAUGAGAGAGAGAGAGAGAGAGAGAGAGAGAGAGAGAGAGAUCAGGGGAAGGGCAGAGAGAGAGGGAGAGAGAAAGUCCCAAGCAGGCUCCACACUGGCAGGGCUUGGACUCAUGAACUGACAGAUCUUAACCUGAGUUGAAAUCAAGAGUCAUAUGCUGAACCAAUUGAGAGACCCAGGCGCCCCUCAAAUUAUGGCUCCUUUAAACAGAAACAAUGGGUGACCCUUGGAAGCAACAACAGUGGAGAGGGAAUGAGAGUUCUUACAGCUUCUGAACCUUCUUGCAGAAAUUAAGUGAGCCUUGUAAGGGCUCACCUGCACUUUAGAAAAGAAAUAAAGGUGGGGUAGGGAUCGUAAAUACCAUGUACUUGGAUUCAUUUUAAUAAUUACCCAUAGUGAAGCCUAGGUGAUAGAUAGUGUGAUGGCUUACCCAGCAACCGGCUCCAAUUACAGAAAUAGGGGAAGAGAGUUUUAGCUUCACAAACGGGAAAGAAAUAGUUUGUUUACUCAAUGUACCAACAGUUUGUGUCCCAACAAUCAUUUAUUAAGCCAGCUAUGCGUAAUGCAAAAGCACAAUUUGCCUUAAAGACAAAGUCGAGGAUGGUGGUUAAGUUUCCUGUUAGUUCACAGAAUAUCAUUUAAACCAGGCAGUAAUUGAAUUAAAAUAAUAAAGCAAUGUUUUUUUUUCUUUUAUAAUUCCAUAGGUUAGAUCAAGUCCACCGGCAGAAAACAUUGAUUUCUCUAUUACACCCCAUUUUGAUCGAAGGUUUCCCUGCCCUUUCUCAGGAGAGCCGCUGGAGGCACAGGGUUUCUCUGAAUUUCCUUGCUCUGAUCAGGACAGCAAUAUGACCCGAGACCCUCAUGGCAGUGGCCAGACGAGAGGUAGGAUUCCAGACAAAGGGAAUUGUGGAAGAAGGGUUUCAUAAGCUGUUUCUUUGAAGUUUGAAGUAUAAAGCCAUGUUCAAUGAGGAGGGUUGGGGUUUGUGCAGUACAAUCUUCUAGUGGUGGCCUGGAGCUAGGCAUGGGAUGUCUCACAGACGAUGCAGAGUGGGGAGUACCAGAAACUCUGAAUCAGGUACUACCGAGAGGAAGUGCGUAGAAGAGUGAGAGGAAGCUGCACAAGUGGAAAAAGAAGAGGAAAGAAAUGCGCAGGUGAGAAAAGAAAUUGAGGGGCAAUAUACACAGGUCCAUCAACUAGGGACUGAAAUUCCACGGGGUAAGGCUCAUGUUUAUAUGUUUGCCUUUAUGUGGCAAGGGCUCCAAAAGAGGGGCCCUAAAUAUGUCCUUCCAGAAUGAUGCCUCUUGUGAGGGCCGACCUCUGCAGCAUCUUCCUUGGAAAAUAUAACACAGGCAGGGACACAAACAGGUUUCGUUGAGCCUGAAGCAUAUGUACUUUGCGGGUACCUCAGAGAAAAAACAAAUUUAAAAAUAUAUAAAAUUAGGUAUAAAAGUAAGUAUUUAUUGAGAUGAGAAAAUAAAAACAAAACAAAAUAUCCAUCUUAAGGAGCUAACGAGUACCACAAAAUACAGAAAACAUAACCAUUUUUAAUCGCCAGCCAUCUUCGUGUCAUUUUUUUCUACAUAUUUUCAUUGCAUCUUCUUUGAGUGCCUCUUCCUUUCAUGUGAUCGGGUUGAGGAUCAGUUACCUCAAAAUAUGGCACCUUGGCAUAUGGAGUAUUUUUUUUAAAUUUUUUAAUGUUUGUUUAUUUUUGAGAGAGAGAGAGAGAGAGGCAGAAAGAGAUGGAGACACAGAAUCUGAAGCAAGCUCCAGGCUCUGAGCUGUCAGCACAGAUCCGGAUGCAGGGCUGGAACUCAUGAACUGCGAGAUCCAGACCUGAGCUGAAGUCAGAUGCCUAACCGACUGAGCCAACCCAGGCACCCCAGCAUAUGGAGUAUUUUAAGGUGAAAAACUUUGAAAAAAUAGCAGAAGCAAGAAUGUCAAUCUGACCUUCCCAGCCCUUCUCUCCUGAAACAGGUCAUACAACCCUUGUGAAAGAGGUGCCCUCCCAACACCUGGAGGAAAGACGUGUCCUUAUCUCUGAAGACAAAAGGAUGCCAAGGAGAACUUCACAAACCACUUUGUUAAGUUUUGCCAGCACACUGCACUUAUCCCAUACUCCUUAACUUAUCAUAUUUCUAUACAACUGCUCACCCCUUAUCAAACCUAGCAUAAAAUAUUCUGAUCUAACCAUCUCUUGAGGUUUCCAUUCCCUAACGAAGGCUCCUGUGUCAGGCAAAACUCAUAUUAAAUACAUUUGUGUGCUCUUCUGCUGUUUAUCUGUCAUUGUCAAUUUAAUUUUCAAACCCCGUCGGGGCCCGCAAGAGGGUGGAAGAAUAGUUUUUCCUCCCCUACACACGUUUAGUCAAAAAAUUUAAACACGUACUGAUACUAUGAGAGAAAUUUUAGUUUUAUAAUGUGUUAUCAGUUAAUAUCAUGCAAACUUUUGGGAUUGUUGACAAAUUUAGGAACAUUUCCAUCAGAUUUCUUCAUACAUGAAUGGUUGGAAAGAUUUCUACAGACCAGGCUCUGGUUGCAUGUGUUUCAACCUGAUUUCUCUCCCUGUAUUUAUGUGAUUUGGGUGGUUAACACAAUAAUAUAUGUUCGAAUCAUAAUAUAAACUCUUGGCGGUCACUUGUGUUCUUACCAGGUGAGUCAGCACAGUGGCCAAGAUGAAUAUUCCUACAAGCCAUUACUACACAUGGAUGCUUAGCAAUAACUUAACCUUGCCCAGAAAUGACUACAAGCAAUUAUCUGUCUCUUCCCCAUCUCUAUCUUUAUCUUUAUUUAGCUGUAUCUAUUAUAUAAUUAUUUGUAUCUAUUAUGUAAUUAUAUCUAGUCAGAUGGAUGGAUGGAGAGAUAGAUAAAUAGAGAGAAAUUGAUAUUUAUCCAUAUCCAACUAAAAUCUUUUUUUUUAAUGUUUAUUUAUUUUUGAGAGGAAGCACAAGUGGGAAAGGGACAGAGAGAGAGAGACAGAGAGAGAUAGAGAAGAUCUGAAGUGGGCUCUGCGCUGACAGCAGAGGGCCUGAUGUGGGGCUUGAAUUCACCCACCACGAGAUCAUGACCUGAACAGAAAUGGGUCUUCGUUGUAACCGACUGGGCCACCCAAGCAUCUCCAACCUAAAAUCUUUUUUUUGUUUUUAAUUUUUUUUAAUGUUUAUUUAUUUUGACAGAGACAGAGAGAGAGCAUGAGAGGCAGAGGGGCAGAGAGAGAAGGAGACACAGAAUCCAAAGCAGGCUCCAGGCUCCGAGCUGUCAGCACAGAGCCCGACAUGGGGCUCGAACUCACGGAGUGCAAGAUCAUGACCUGAGCAGAAGUCAGCGGCUUAACUGACUCAGCCACCCAGGCACCCCUCCCACCUAAAAUCUUUUUAGUGUAUUCCCAGUUCAACUUCCCCUUAACCAAGUAUCAAAAAUGCUCUGAGCUGUUGUAAUGUCACUCAACAUGAGCUGAAGUUUUCUGAAGGGUGUGUCAGGGUGAAAAUAGACAGUGAGUGGUCUCAACUCAUUCCUGUUUACACACAUUAGUUUUGCAAAUUUUAUAAAGACAUAUAAUCAUGUGAACACACUGCUGGGGCUCUUUCCAGACCUUUUGAAGACACCUGUGCAAAUGAAGGGGUCUUCAUGCUUAAAGUUCAAUUGCUUCAGAGUAAGUUGGUGAGAAGAGACAGGAGCAGGAGAGUGUGUCCCCAAAAAUGUGGGAAAUAAAGAGGAAUGUCCCCUGUCAUGUGCACUGUCAACACUAGAUUCUUGGAGUUUCCUUCCUGUUUUCUUUUCCUGUCAGGGCAAGAAAAACCUGCAGUGAGAGGCUGUCCACACAAGAGCAGUGACUCUCAGAUAUUACCACAGCAGCAAAGGUGAAAACCAACAGAUUUGGAGUACACUUUCAUCAAACCUGAGGCCUGGAGGAACAGCAGCGUUCCAAAGUGCCCCGAUGGCAAUCAAAGAAUAUAGGUCAAUCGCUACACGUGUCCACUGGCCAGAAUAUGACCCUGUUGGGGAUCAGGAGCUCCAACUGUACAGAAUCCAGAGUUGUAGGAAGACCAGCAGGCUGGAGACUCAGAGAAAAGUUGAUGGUGCAGUGUUGAGUCCAAAGACUGUCUAUAGGAAGAAUUCUAUAAACACUGAAGAAGACUUCAGUGUUUUCUCUUGAUGCCUUCUGCUGAAUGGAUGAGGCCCAUCAACAUUAAGGAAGAAAUAUUGGCCCGAUCUCUGCCUUCGUCUUCACAUGACAGUUUCCCUGUGUGCAUUUCUGUCUCCAGUUUUCCCCUUUUAUGAGGACACCAAUCAUAUUGGAUCAGGGGCCUAUUCCACUGUGAUAUGACAUCAUCUUACCAUUACAUCUGCAAUAACCCUGUCUCCAAAUAAGGUUGCAUUCUGAGGGACACUUAGGUAUCAAAGGCAUUGCAGAAAGCACUCUACUUCACUAUCUCAAUGUAUCUUAAGACUUCAAAAGAUACAAGGUUUCCCUCCAUCAAGGUUAAGUACAUCUCGAAGUCUCCAUGUUCAGUCACUUGGAACAGCAAACUAGAAAUACCGUACUCUGUACCAAGACUGCCUCUCGGCAGAGAAUGGUGUGUAUGAGCAGCCCGUUUUCCAGAUGCAUCCUAGAUGCGAGACUCUGUCUAGGUCAAGCAUAAUGAUUCUGAUGAAAAGUGAAGGAUUCUACUGUAUGUAAUUGGACUUUGACAGAACAGUUUUGCAUAAAGACAAGGUUAUUAUUGAAACUUGGCCAUGACAAAGAAACUGGUACAGCUUACUUUUGUCAUCUAGUCUUAAAUUCAUCAACCUUGGUUUAAGAACGGUUUUGAUACCACAGUGAAGAAGAAAAGAUUUCUAGUUUGAGGUCAUUAGACAUGAACCGCUUGAAGGAAAGAAAAAUGAGUCGUCUAAAAUGGCUACAGCAGAGGAUAUUGUUUGUAUCAGCAUGGAACAGAAUGAGCCGCCUCAGAAAACUACAAGAAUCCCAAUUAGACAUAUUUUUCCUCUGGAUGGAAACUGGUAACAAAGAUAAAGGAGUCCAAUAACGAACUCUUUAUUUUUCUUUCUCUUGACACACCCCCUCUUUUGUAUCAGGCACUAAAAAACAUGCCUGCCCUAAAAUCUUGAAUAUUGAGCAUUUUGAUGUUUCCUCCCUUUUUUCUAAGAAUUUAACAUUUCCCACAAUUUUGUAGCACUGAUAACUAUCACUCCUGUCCCCUGAUAAUCUCAGUUCCAUGCAACUUGUAAAAGGCAGUCUGACCCUGAGACUUCAUAGUGGGUGGCAGAUGGCUUUCGUGAAUGCCUAUUUCUGCUAUUAAAAUAAAAUGACAGGAAACACCACAGAGAAGUUUCUUUUAUUUGAAAAAAAAAUAAGGUUGUCAUAUGAUGUGAAAUACAAAUCUAAGGGCUUUGGCAGUCACUAACUUCACAUAGCAUGGUUAUCACUGGAAGGUAAAUGUAACAUCCACCUUCGGGUCUCCGUGAAAGAUGCAUUGUGCGAAAGGCAAGACAGUGCUUUCUGGCCCACUACUUACACGUGUAGCAAUUUAUUAUAUGAAAAUGCAGAGUGCAACUCAGACAACUUGUGAGCACUUAUUGAAGUUGCCAGGCAAAAAUAUUUUCCUCCAUGCUACAUUAGCAUUUUCUGGUUUAGACCAGCUGAUCUUUUUGAAUUGGGCUGCAUGAAUCAUCACAUCCAGUAUGUAAAUUUCAUACGUAUAUUUAAAUAUUUUUCCUUUCAAAUUGGAACCAGAAUUCAUAUUAUAGCCAAUAUAGUCUGGAAAAAAAAAAAAAGUCAGGUUGCUGUCCUGUGUUCCCUCCACACAUCUAAAAAUUCUAAGAGCCUACAAGCUUAAUGUGGAGAGCAUCAGGGAUGUUUUCAAUAGUCAAGAGUGUCACUCAUUCUACUUUUUCAAAGUUCUUAGUUCCCGUUAAUAAUUUUAUAUACCAUAAUCAUUCACCUUGAACAUUUGCUAAUACGUUUAAAAUGCCAUUCUCUACUUAAUUGUUUCCAACAAGCGCUUUUAUUGAACAUCCACCAGGCAAAAAUGUACCAUUUCGAGUGUUCUGGAACCUCCUGCUUUCGCUUAUUAAUAACUCCCAAACAGAAUGUCUGCUUUAGACAUUAGCUUCCGAAAUAGAAUCGAAUCUUAAUUAGUUCAAGAGAAACUCUACUUAAGUAGUCUUAGAGAAAAUGCGCUAAUUUCCCCUCUAAUAUAUCCUCCUGUUGUUUGACUGUGAUGAGAAUGGUCUUUUAAAAGAGGCCUCAGGUGUGAAACCAACUGUUCAGGCUCAUUGUCAGCUGCUGGUUUCUAGAGUAUUAAUUCAAAAUUAGUGAAAAUAUAAGACUAUGUCUACAUUGGCCAACUCUAUUGCAAAAUUGAGCAAUUUUCAGUCAAGGGUGCAGCAUCCUCUACAAUGCCCUUGAGGAAGAUUCAGAAGCUCAUUCUAUUUCCAUCUGCUUCCAUCAUUAGAGAAUGCAGUUGAUUGAUUCAACCUCACUAACAAUAAGAACGGAUGCUGUUUAACUAAAAGGUGCCAUUCUAGAAUUUCAUGGAUUCACCUGUUGUCCCCUAGUAGGUCUAUGAUAAUCUGAGAAAGCAGCUAGACCGGACCCUUGCAAGAGGGUUUGUGUCCUACAUGUUGAAGACUGAAGAGGACUCUGUUAAGAAUGCCAGCUCCCAAGUAAAAUAUGGGCAAAACUGGUUGGAGUUGAAGGCUUCCUUGUAAAGAGGUGCUGCACAUUUGAGAAGUCAGCACCACACAGAUCCUCAGACCAAGCUACCUUCAUCGAUUAUGCAAUCCGUAACUCUGCCUCAAAUAAAAUCAACAGGAAUUUC